rnacentral:rRNA from 1 species
CUACGGGUGGCUGCAGUAAGGAAUAUUGCGCAAUGGAGGCAACUCUGACGCAGCCAUGCCGCGUGCAGGAAGAAGGCCUUAUGGGUCGUAAACUGCUUUUAUUUAGGAAUAAACCCCCGAACGUGUUCGGGGCUGAAGGUACUAAACGAAUAAGCACCGGCUAACUCCGUGCCAGCAGCCGCGGUAAUACGGAGGGUGCAAGCGUUAUCUGGAUUUAUUGGGUUUAAAGGGUGCGCAGGCGGGCUAUUAAGUCAGUGGUGAAAUCCCGGGGCUCAACUCCGGAACUGCCAUUGAUACUGAUAGUCUUGAGUUUGGUUGAAGUGGGCGGAAUGUAGCAUGUAGCGGUGAAAUGCAUAGAUAUGCUACAGAACACCAAUCGCGAAGGCAGCUCACUAAGCCAAAACUGACGCUCAUGCACGAAAGCGUGGGGAUCAAACAGGAUUAGAUACCCUAGUAGUC